UCUUUAACUCAAUUUUUCAUUGACAGCACGUCUGAAGAUGGUUUUGAUGAUUCUAGCUCUCCAGAUGGUUAUGAGAUUGUUGAAAAAGCACAUGGCAAGCCUUCUAAGAACAAGCAGGACAAAUCAAAUGCUGAGAAAGCUACUGCGGGUAAGAAAGAGUAUGUCAAAGUUAAUAUAAACGCGACGGAUAAAUAUCUUGACGAUGAUAGUGAUGAGGAUGAGGAUGA